CUGAGUACCACACUCUCUACCCUUUGUGAACUAUUAUACCUGUUGCUUCGGCGGCGCCCGCGAGGGCGCCCGCCGGUUUCAUCAGAAUCUCUGUUUUCGAACCCGACGAUACUUCUGAGUGUUCUUAGCGAACUGUCA
rnacentral:misc_RNA from 1 species